rnacentral:rRNA from 1 species
CCUACGGGUGGCAGCAGUGGGGAAUAUUGCACAAUGGGGGAAACCCUGAUGCAGCAACGCCGCGUGAGUGAAGAAGUAUUUCGGUAUGUAAAGCUCUAUCAGCAGGGAAGAAAAUGACAGUACCUGACUAAGAAGCCCCGGCUAACUACGUGCCAGCAGCCGCGGUAAUACGUAGGGGGCAAGCGUUAUCCGGAUUUACUGGGUGGAAAGGGAGCGUAGACGGCUGCGCAAGUCAGAAGUGAAAGCCCGGGGCUCAACCGCGGGACUGCUUUUGAAACUGUGUAGCUAGAGUGCAGGAGAGGGCGGUGGAACUCCAUGUGUAGCGGUAAAAUGCGUAGAUAUAUGGAAGAACACCAGUGGCGAAGGCGGCCGCCUGGCCUGUUACUGACGCUGAGGCACGAAAGCGUGGGGAGCAAAUAGGAUUAGAUACCCUUGUAGUC